AUCUACGGCCGUACCACCCUGAACACACCCGAUCUCGUCUGAUCUCAGAAGCUAAGCAGGGUCGGGCCUGGUUAGUAUUUGGAUGGGAAAAUAGGUAACUACAGCUA
rnacentral:rRNA from 1 species